CGAGUGAAGCGGCAACAGCUCAAAUUUGAAAUCUGGCCUCGGCCCGAGUUGUAAUUUGCAGAGGAUGCUUUUGGUGCGGUGCCUUCCGAGUUCCCUGGAACGGGACGCCACAGAGGGUGAGAGCCCCGUAUGGUCGGACACCAAUCCUGUGUAAAGCUCCUUCGACGAGUCGAGUAGUUUGGGAAUGCUGCUCUAAAUGGGAGGUAAAUCUCUUCUAAAGCUAAAUACCGGCCAGAGACCGAUAGCGCACAAGUAGAGUGAUCGAAAGAUGAAAAGCACCUUGAAAAGGGGGUUAAACAGUACGUGAAAUUGUUGAAAGGGAAGCACUUGUGACCAGACUUGGGCCGGGCGGCUCAUCAGGGGUUCUCCCCUGUGCAUUCCGCCCGGUACAGGCCAGCAUCGGUUCUUACCGGGGGAUAAGAACGGCAGGAACGUGGCUCCCUCUCGGGGGAGUGUUAUAGCCUGCCGUACGAUACCCUGGCGGGGACCGAGGUUCGCGCUUCCGCAAGGAUGCUGGCGUAAUGGUUACUAGUGACCCGUCUUGAAACACGGACCAAGGAGUCGUCCAUUAGAGCGAGCGUUUGGGUGUAAAACCCGCACGCGUAAUGAAAGUGAAAUUAGGUGAGAGCUUCGGCGCAUCAUCGACCGAUCCUGAUGUUCUCGGAUGGAUUUGAGUAAGAGUUUUAACGGACGGACCCGAAAGACAGUGAACUAUGCUUGUAUAGGGUGAAGCCAGAGGAAACUCUGGUGGAGGCUCGCAGCGGUUCUGACGU
rnacentral:rRNA from 1 species